AAAUUCAAACCGUAACCCCGUUAAAGUAACCACCAAAGCAACUCAAGCAGAGAGCACAGCUUCUUUUCUUUUUUGUCACCAGAGAACACAGUCUAUUCCAAAAAAAAACUCUCAACGAACACAGAGGAUGCAGAGAAUCAUCACCUGUGAUCAAAACGAAGAGUAAGAAAUAAACCAAGCAAAGUGACUGAGAAUCAUCUUCGGCCAUAAUCAUACGCGUCACCGUCUUCAACUACUUUUUCUUUUUCUUCUUGCUCUUUAUUGUUGGAGUCGUCGUCUUCUUCUUCGACAAGGUGUGGAAAUUACUAAGGAAGAAGAUGAUUUUCAUGGAAAAUUCAUGGAAAAGGGAUUAUAGAGAAAGAGGAAAGGGGAAGUUGAAAAAACAGACCCGCCCGCACGUAAGACCAACCAACUCAAAAACUUUGAACACACAUUUAUUUGCCCCAAGGCUUAUUCUCCUUCUUCUUCUCUAUUUAUUAGACUUUUCCUUUCCUUUUCUUCUUCUCCCCCUCACGAAAUUAAAACACAAAAGGUUGAAUUGAAUCAUCAUUUUUAUGUUUAUUUUUUGACCAAAAUAACGUAUUUAUUACGCUACCAGUCUUUCAAAUUUUUUCUUUCGAAACAAAUAACAAAUUCUUUUAAUAUUUGAAAUUAUUAGAGUAAAAAUGUUAUCUUGAUUUAAUAGUGUCAUAUGACUAAGACCAUCAUUAUUUCUGAUAUUUCAACAUAAAUUUCUUUUUCACUAUAUUAAUAUUUCAAUGUUUUAUAAAAGGUGAAAACUUAUUUUAGCAACUUUCAAAUGAACUUUUCAAAUUUUGAAAAGAAAAAGUUCAAUUGGAUAUCUAUACAAUUGGUAACAAUACCUAUAUUCAAAACUUCAAAUACUAUAUUAAUGGGGAUGCAAUAAAUACAGCUUUAGUCUCAAUUUAAGCCAAAAAUAAUAAUUACAAAUAUUGUGUAAGACUAUGGAAUUUAAUGGCUCGGACGUAAAUAUAUCAAAAUUUGAGUUUUUUUUUUUGAAUUUUUAAUCAUGCGGUUUGGUUGAAACUUCAUGAAAUUAAAUUUAGGUGAGCAGCUGAGACAUCUAAGUUGACCAGUUCUGAAGAUUUUGACUUCGUGUAAGAGUUGAUUUACAAGAUUACGGUAUGGUGGGCCUCAUGUAAUUCAUCUGGACGGCACUCAUUGACUUAGUUAGUCCUUUGACCAAUGUUUUUAGCAUAUUAUUAAUGAUCAAAUCUCAUAUCUUAUUCCUUUUAUUUGUCUGUACUAUUGAUAUAGAAAUACGUUCUUUAAUAUUUUCCCCCGUGACCA